rnacentral:rRNA from 1 species
UGGGGAAUAUUGCACAAUGGGCGCAAGCCUGAUGCAGCCAUGCCGCGUGUGUGAAGAAGGCCUUCGGGUUGUAAAGCACUUUCAGCGAGGAGGAAGGUGGUGAGCUUAAUACGCUCAUCAAUUGACGUUACUCGCAGAAGAAGCACCGGCUAACUCCGUGCCAGCAGCCGCGGUAAUACGGAGGGUGCAAGCGUUAAUCGGAAUUACUGGGCGUAAAGCGCACGCAGGCGGUUUGUUAAGUCAGAUGUGAAAUCCCCGGGCUCAACCUGGGAACUGCAUUUGAAACUGGCAAGCUAGAAGUCUCGUAGAGGGGGUAGAAUUCCAGGUGUAGCGGUGAAAUGCGUAGAGAUCUGGAGGAAUACCGGUGGCGAAGGCGGCCCCCAUGGACGAAGACUGACGCUCAGGUGCGAAAGGCGUGGGGCAGCAAACAGGAUUAGAUACCCUGGUAGUCACGCUGUAAACGAUGUCGAUUUUGGAGGUUGUGCCCUUGAGGCGUGGCUUCCGGAGCUAACGCGUUAAA